AACGAACGCUAGCGACAGGCUUAACACAUGCAAGUCGAGGGGCAGCAUAGAAGUAGCAAUACUUUGGUGGCGACCGGCGCACGGGUGAGUAACGCGUAUGCAACCUACCUAUCAGAGGGGAAUAACCCGGCGAAAGUCGGACUAAUACCGCAUAAAACAGGGGCACCGCAUGGUGAUAUUUGUUAAAGAAAUUCGCUGAUAGAUGGGCAUGCGUUCCAUUAGGUAGUUGGUGAGGUAACGGCUCACCAAGCCGACGAUGGAUAGGGGAACUGAGAGGUUGGUCCCACACACUGGUACUGAGACACGGACCAGACUGCUACGGGAGGCAGCAGUGAGGAAUAUUGGUCAAUGGGCGGGAGCCUGAACCAGCCAAGUCGCGUGAAGGAAGAAGGAUCCAUGGUUCGUAAACUUCUUUUGCAGGGGAAUAAAGUGCAGGACGUGUCCUGUUUUGUAUGUACCCUGAGAAUAAGGAUCGGCUAACUCCGUGCCAGCAGCCGCAGUAAAAC
rnacentral:rRNA from 1 species